rnacentral:rRNA from 1 species
UACGUAGGGGGCUAGCGUUGUCCGGAAUCAUUGGGCGUAAAGAGCGCGUAGGUGGCUAGAUAAGUCCGGUGUGAAAGUCACAGGCUCAACCUGUGAAUGCCGCUGGAAACUGUCUGGCUAGAGUCCGGAAGGGGCGAGUGGAAUUCCUGGUGUAGCGGUGAAAUGCGCAGAUAUCUGGAGGAAUACCGGUGGCGAAGGCGGCAUCCUGGACCGGCAUUGACGCUGAGGAGCGAAAGCCAGGGGAGCAAACGG